UAACACAUGCAAGUUGAGCGAUUUACUUCGGUAAAGAGCGGCGGACGGGUGAGUAACGCGUGGGUAACCUACCCUGUACACACGGAUAACAUACCGAAAGGUAUGCUAAUACGGGAUAAUAUAUUUGGGAGGCAUCUCUUAAAUAUCAAAGGUGAGCCAGUACAGGAUGGACCCGCGUCUGAUUAGCUAGUUGGUAAGGUAACGGCUUACCAAGGCGACGAUCAGUAGCCGACCUGAGAGGGUGAUCGGCCACAU
rnacentral:rRNA from 1 species